rnacentral:rRNA from 1 species
GAUGAACGCUAGCUACAGGCUUAACACAUGCAAGUCGAGGGGAAACGAUAUUGGAAGCUUGCUUCCGAUAGGCGUCGACCGGCGCACGGGUGAGUAACGCGUACCCAACCUGCCCAUCACUUGGGGAUAACCUUGCGAAAGUAAGACUAAUACCCAAUGACGUCUCUAGAAGACAUCUGAAAGAGAUUAAAGAUUUAUCGGUGAUGGAUGGGGAUGCGUCUGAUUAGCUUGUUGGCGGGGUAACGGCCCACCAAGGCGGCGAUCAGUAGGGGUUCUGAGGGGAAGGGCCCCCACAUUGGAACUGGGACACGGGCCAAACUCCUACGGGAGGCAGCAGUGAGGAAUAUUGGUCAAUGGGCGAGAGCCUGAACGAGCCAAGUAGCGUGCAGGAUGACGGCCCUAUGGGUUGUAAACUGCUUUUAUAAGGGAAUAAAGUGGGAGUCGUGACUCCUUUUGCAUGUACCUUAUGAAUAAGGAUCGGCUAAUUCCGUGCCAGCAGCCGCCGUAA